rnacentral:misc_RNA from 1 species
GAAAAUAGCCGGAGAAAGAGAAGAGGGGUUUUGUGAUUGCCGGAAUCAGACCGUCUACAUCGCUGAACUGAAGUAUUCAAUCGGCGGUGAAGAGAAAGACGGUGUAUUCGUGCCGGAAAAAAAAGUGAGAUAUAGAGGCACGAUCUCUCUCAGAUCUGGUCAUCUGAUUAUUGUUCAGUGCUAUUAUCCGCAUCAGCAGAUGGCUCUUUCGAUGUAACAUUUGGGAUCUUCAUCAUUCGCUGUUCAAAACAACUUGACGUGCGAGUGAUAGUGUUCUUGUAUUCUUGUGUCCAGUGGUGAUAUCUUUGGGGGUUGGUUUUUGAUUCCUCUUUUCCUGAUUGAUGAUUGUUUCUGGAUUGAUUCUUUUGGUGGUUUGUGCACAAUCGGCUUCUGAGUUGAGCGUGUCGGGAAGCUCUCUCCUGCCACCAUCUCUUUUUGUGAUUGAGACUUAGGACGGUGUUCCUUGUAUGUCUCCUAACUUGGACAGUCCUGUUCAAACUCAGAUGGCUGUAGCAGUAUUUAAGAGUCCGCUUGGUGGAGAGUACCAUGGAAGCAGUAGGAUGGAAGGGAAAUCUACUGGGAGGAGACGGGUUUUUGUGCAAACU